GAGCGAACGCGGAUUAGCCCAAACCAAUAAAGUUUUCUUUAUUGGGGUUGCGGACAUAUCAUAACGAAGAGGUAUCGUAAUUGAAGAGGUUUGGAAAGACCCACCACAGAAGGUAAUAGUCCUGUAUAUUAAACGAGAAGACUUCAGAUAUGAUCCAGAGUACCACGGGACACGUGAAACCCUGUGGGAAGCAGGAGGGACCACCCUCCAAGGCUAAAUACUACCUAGU
rnacentral:rRNA from 1 species